rnacentral:rRNA from 1 species
AUUGAACGCUGGCGGCAGGCCUAACACAUGCAAGUCGAGCGGAUGAAGGGAGCUUGCUCCUGGAUUCAGCGGCGGACGGGUGAGUAAUGCCUAGGAAUCUGCCUGGGAGUGGGGGAUAACGUCCGGAAACGGGCGCUAAUACCGCAUACGUCCUGAGGGAGAAAGUGGGGGAUCUUCGGACCUCACGCUAUCAGAUGAGCCUAGGUCGGAUUAGCUAGUUGGUGGGGUAAAGGCCUACCAAGGCGACGAUCCGUAACUGGUCUGAGAGGAUGAUCAGUCACACUGGAACUGAGACACGGUCCAGACUCCUACGGGAGGCAGCAGUGGGGAAUAUUGGACAAUGGGCGAAAGCCUGAUCCAGCCCUGCCGCGUGUGUGAAGAAGGUCUUCGGAUUGUAAAGCACUUUAAGUUGGGAGGAAGGGCAGUAAGUUAAUACCUUGAUGUUUUGACGUUACCAACAGAAUAAGCACCGGCUAACUUCGUG